CGAGAGACAGCUUUAGUUUGUUAAAGAAAAAGGAGAUAAGCUUUAAUUGUUCCUCUUCUCCUUUUCCUCUCUGAGCUUCAACUUUCUUUUCUCUGCGAUUACCUUCCCCUGUUUCUCUCUUUCUCUCUCUCUGAGCUCAAAAACCCUGUACUUCUCUUGAGCCCAACUUCAAUUCUGCUAUUUCUGCGAGGAAACCAUGUCUUUCAUUGGAGAGGCAGCCCUAUCGGCUUUGAUGGAAGCGUUGUUUGCCAAGUUGGUCUUACCUGAAAUGCUGAGCUUCUUACGUCAAGGGAAAGUAGAUGCUGAGAUUAAGAAGUGGGAAAAAAUGUUGCGCAAAAUUCAGUCUGUUCUAGAAGAUGCAGAGGAGAAGCAAAUGACAAACAAGCAGGUGAAGAUGUGGCUGAGCGAGCUCCAAGACUUGGCUUACGAUGUGGAGGACAUCUUGGACGAGUUUGCUAUGGAAUCUUUGCAACGCAAGCUAGAGGGAGAACCUCAAGCCUCCACAAGUAAGGUUCGAAAACUCAUUCCAACUUGUUGUACUAAUUUUAGUCCAAGAGCUGUCACGUUUAAUUUUGAGAUGCUGUCCAAGAUAAAGGAGAUAACCACCAGAUUCAAAGACAUUACAGCGCAGGAGGAUGAUCUGAAUUUGAGAGAGAUUGUUGUGGGGCCAUCUAGACAGGUAUGGCAACGACCUCAGAGUUCAUGUUUGCAAGAUGAACCUCAAGUGUAUGGCAGAGAUGAAGAUAAAAGGAAGAUACUUGAUUUGAUUUCGAGCAAUGUAACAAAUGAUGUGAAAGUUGGAGUAAUACCCAUUGUUGGGAUGGGUGGGGUGGGUAAAACAACACUUGCUCGGCUUGUCUACAAUGAUGAGUCAUUAAAACAACAACAAUUUCAUCCAAAAGCAUGGGUUUGCGUAUCUGAUGAGUUUGAUAUUUUGAGAAUAUCAAAGAACAUUUUUGAGUCGAUCACUUUGAAGCCGUGUGAUCUAAAGGAGCUUAAUC
rnacentral:misc_RNA from 1 species